rnacentral:lncRNA from 1 species
CAAAGCCUGCCGGGCGAACCGAAGGCAGCUUUGUGCGGAGCCAUGCCAGGAAGCUUGGGAACCGUGAGCCACAAGAGGGAAAAUCUGUGCAUACAGUGUGGACAUCUAAGUCAUACAUAACAAGCCUAUCGCAUCCUUGGAGCAUGGCACAGCAGGAAUAAAGGAGAAAGAAGCUGGAAUCAGACAGUGGGGGUCAGGGAGAAGAUCUAUAACAUUCUGCUAGGUGGAUGAGAGAUUCAAAGGAGAUGACAUGAUCUGUGAAGG